AUCUGUAGAUUUUCGGCAGAAUUUCUGCGUAGAAAUCUGUAGAUUUUCUGCAGAAAUUCUGCCGAAAAUCUGCAGAUUCU
rnacentral:pre_miRNA from 1 species